rnacentral:rRNA from 1 species
CAACGUGGGUAACCUGCCUUAUAGUGGGGGAGUAGCCUUUCGAAAGGAAGAUUAAUACCGCAUAAGAUUGUAGUAUCGCAUGAUAUAGCAAUUAAAAGGAAGCAAUUCGCUAUAAGAUGGACCCGCGUCGCAUUAGCUAGUUGGUGAGGUAAUGGCUCACCAAGGCGACGAUGCGUAGCCGACCUGAGAGGGUGAUCGGCCACAUUGGGACUGAGACACGGCCCAGACUCCUACGGGAGGCAGCAUG